GGCGCCGAGUGUCUCCGUGUCCCUCUGCCCCAGCCGGCGGCCGCGAUGGUGGAGCUUGGCCUCUCGCUCUCUCCCGCCUCUCCAGCGACUGCUCUGCCGGCCGCGGAGGUCGGAUCGAGCGGUCAUUCAUUCAUUUGUUAAUUCGUUCACUUAUUCAGGGGAGAUCAUUGAACCCCUACGGAGUACCGGGUACUGGGCCGGGCGCUGAGGACGCGGGGCUGAGCAAAAGCAGCCGAGGCCCACCUUCGUGCCCCUUAAAACCCAGCGUGCGGGGCGGCAACGAGUACUGCUUUUCUGUUUUGCACUUAAAAUUUACAUUUUGCAUCCGUACUUUUUAUUUACUGUGCACCCUUACGGCAUGCUUUACGCACCCGUACCUGCACCUCCUAGCCUUGAGUGUAGACACCAGAUCCUGAGAUGGGCGAUUUUUCGAGAAUAAUUUUUACCCUAAGUGGAUUUUCGUGCCACGCAUGGACUUGGAACUACACACACGUAGUCCAAAACGUGAAAGUCAAAAUGCAGCUUUGCCAAGUGGCAGGGAGAAAGGAGAGCUGAGAAGAUGAGGAGAGGAAGGGCGCGCUCCAGGCUUUCCAGCCCGGGUGCGGUAGACGUAGCCCUGAAGGAUGAACCCAGGCUGGUAGUAGGGCGGCGGGAGGGCGGGGGGACCUGUCAGUCAAGUCCAAAGCAGAAACGCGGCGCCGGAUCCCAGUCAGAGGCCGGCUGGAACGCUUCCCACAGGCUCCUGGCGCUCCGGUCCCCACCAGGCGACCUUGAUCCUGGCGUGCUCAGCGGAGCCAGCGCAGCGUCGGGAGCUGGAGAGACGCGGGGCGCCGGCUGAGCGCUCCUGCCCUCUGCCUCUGGGCUAGCCUCUGGCCCGGCCUCCCGGCCUCCCCCAGGGUACGCUCUCCCCCAAGAGCGAACACCAGCUUUGGGAUCGCCAGCAGCCACGUCUCUGCUUCUAGAUCUCUUUUUUUUUUCUUUGAGACUUAGUUGAUAGCUGUUUAAGGAAUUAUGUGGAGGAAAUCUCACCUCCGACCCCCGCCCCCGUUGAGCACGGCCGGCCAGGGUCGCUGGGUGGGCCAGGAGGAAAGAAAGGGGCGGGGAAGAAGCAGCAAUUUUACUUUAAAUUAAAAUGACACAAAAAUAUUUUUUCAACUCAGAUCUUUCUGAGACAUCCCCAGAAAGCGUUGCAAGCUGUGAUUACACCUAAUGUGAGAGCAUGAACUAAUUUAAGAGGUGAGAGCUGCAUAAUGAGGCUGCCUCCCGUGUAGCAGCCAAGACUGGCAGCUCUGGCGGCGCGCUGGAGGGGACCGGGAGGGGCACCCUUGUAGAACCAGUCCCUGGCGCCCUGGGAUCUUCUCAGUGCCCUGGCGCUGUGUUGUCGGUCACUCCACAGAUAUUACAGGGUGCCUCCUGAAUGCCGGGUUGCAAUCAAGAGCAAGAGAUGGGGCGAGUGAAAGAGCCUGUUUUCAGGAGCUCAGCAUCAGGAUGACGAUUACCUAGAGGGAGGUGGUGGCCAGCCUCCCCCUCUUCUCUUCAUGCUGAGGCUCUGGUGGGCAGUGCCCAAGCCUGAACUGCCAUCUGUAUGCCAGUGGUUACCCAACUUGUAUUUUCAGUCUUAGCCUCUCUCUGGUCCAGACUUGUCAUUCUAAGGGCCCUUUUUCACUGACUCACAUUGUCUCCUCCCUCCCUGCCUUCCAAACUCAGCCUUUUCCUUUUUCCCUUUCCCACUGACAACAGCUGCACGACCCCCCCGCCCCCCCACGAGGUGAAAAUUCCCAAGAACCCCAUGUCUAACCUAACUCCCUCUCUAUGUCCUGUUGCUUGAGCCAUUCUCAUUAGGCUGCCUGUUCGGAGUUCAUUAUCUCCUAAUUUUUCAUCCAGGAAUUGAUGAAGAAUCACCUACUGCCUCUCCCACACACUGUUUAUUCUUUCAUUUGAUGAUAUCUGUUAAGUGCCCUGAGAUAUGUAACCUCCACUUCCCUCCCAUAUAAGUGAGAUUUCACGUUGAUUACUUCCUUGGCUUUCCUCAUCCCUUAUCCACAUAGCAUGUGUUCAAAAUAAUGAAUAUUAAUUUAAUGUUAAUAGAUAUGUGCUUUCCUGAAUUGUGAGGAUUAAAUGAAAUCAUGUAUAUAGGGAGGAAAAUCCAUUAGAAACCUCAAAAGCAGUUAUGUUUAUUUUUGCUAUUGUCACAUUGUUAGAGUCAGAAUUCUUUUAGCUGCAAGUGACAAAACCAACUCAAACUGGCUUAAGGACUUUAUUGGUUGAUGCAAAAAGCCUCGGGUUAGGUCUUGCCAUUUAAGGUAGGGCUGGAUCCAUCAAUCCGGGUUACCAGGAUCUGUUUUCUAGUUGUGGCUUCAUUUUCAGACAAGUUGUUUCCAUAUGAUAGCCUCAUAGAAGGUACUACCAGCUUAGUCCUAGCAAGAAAAAAGAGUACUUACUCUUCAAUAUUUGCAGCAGAAGUCCCAGGUCUGUUCUUAUGAGGGCAGUUUGAGUCACUUGCUCUUCUCUGAACGUGGAGAAGGCACUGUUUAGAUGAUGGAGGUUGGAUUCAGGUGCAUCCCCUGGAAUGGGGUUUGGCAUUAGCUUCACGUGGUCUAGAAUAAAGGGGUUCUCCAAAGGAAAAUUAGGGUAGGAAUGCUGAGUAAGCAGAACAAACAGAUGUCUACUUUAGUCCUUCCCAAAGGGUGAGCUGCAAUACAUUGCAGACUAUCAGAAUGGUGAUGAACACGGAUGCAGUAGCCAAGAAAAUAGAUGUGUGUUUGUCGUGGUCUUUUUCAGUCUUCAAGAUCUCAGUUAAACAUGAAGUCAACCACUCACUAUGAUGUUAUUUGAGGUUUAGCUUUGAAGUGGAAAUGUACCACAAAUAGUAGAGCCAGAUAAAUACAAAUAAAUAAUUUUAACAGUCCAUUCUAAAAGAUUUCUUUGGUAAUAUUCUGUUGGAAUUGAUUUCUAUCUUUUCAUUUGUUAGGUUCCUGGAAAGUGAAAAUUUCAUUUCUUUGUGGACAGGUACCUAAAAUGUCUCAUUAUUCAUCAAUUAAUGAAAAACAAAUGAAAAUUUGAGAGAGAUAUUCUGAAGAAUAAAAGGAUCAAGUUGGGUCAUUUCUAAAAUCUCAGAGACCUAAUAGGAUGGGGUCUUAGAGAAACAUCUUUUGAGCCACAGACUUCUUUGUUACCAGAAGGAAAAUGAAAGAAGAAAUUUAAAUACCACUUGAAGAGAGAGAGUGUGAAGAAAUGACCCUGAAAAGCCUCUGGCAGAGGAUUCUUCUUUCAGGAUGGUGUCGCCUCCUCAGCAGCCCAUCCUCCUCCCCUGGACUCAAGCUCUCAUUCCAGUAACACUCCUUCCUCCUUCUCCAUCUUCAGGGGGAGGUUUGCCAGUCGGUGGGUUCUAAGCAUAUCUCGCUGAUUCCCCCCAACCCUGCCGACACCUCUGUAGGUCGUCCCUUCAUUAAAAUCUCUCCAUUUGAACUAUCUGAGUUUAAUUCCAUUUCCUCCUGGUAUCUCAGUGAUACACGGUAUCAGUACAAAAAUCUCGCUUCACCUUCAGAACCAACAGAUUUGAGACAUUUUAUCCUCUGUGGAACCAUUAGUUAUUUUGUCAUUGGUUGUAUCAGAAAAAAAAAUCAGGAAUGCAAAUCCUUCUUUAUUACAGAUUCAGAUUUGCAUAUUACCAAUGUUAUAUAUUUUAAACAAAACUAUUCAUCAUAAGUUUUAAAAAUUAACUACUGGAGUAGUUAAUGAAUCUGAAUGUAAUUAUGUAGCUUUCAUAAUAUUAAAGUAAAAAUACUAAAAGAAGUAUUUCUUAAAGAAGCAAAUGCUCAAUCUCCAAGUAAAUUUUAUUCUAUGCUCUUCCGGUAUAAGAAUAUGUUAAUAUCUUGAAAAAUAUCAUAUUAUUUUGUGAACUCAUAAAGCUAUUUUGAGUUUUUGUAAAAUGAAAACCUUACCAAAAUGUAUUUUAUUGUUGGAAAGCUUGACCGUUACUGCUGUUUAAUUUUUUGAGCUUGUAAACUUUAUUUGUGCAUGUUUUCAACAAAGAAGGAUUUUAUUGUUAUUACAUAAAACAGGUGAUUUCUAGAUUUUAAAAUCACAAAUUGAAAGCAAGGCACAAUAAUAUAUAUUUCAAGAUAUAGGUACUUAGGAGGCAUCCUUUUAGUCAUCUGUUCAAUGUAGCCAUCUAUUUUACACCUACUGUCUACUAUUGUUUGAGGUCCUUGCCAAAGUAUUGCAGGCUAGUUAGGAAACAUAAAACAAUUAGAAAGUAAUCUAUGACAAGUAAGCUAUCUAUAAAUGGCAAUGAAGGGUAGAACAAAUUCAAUGAAAAUAUCUAUUUAAUCCUAGUGUUUACUGGUCUAGAAGAAUAGGCUGAGUAAAUUAGUAUUUCUCUGGCUGUUGUGGUAACACAUUGCAUGCUAUAACAGUUUUAAGUAAUUACAGGUGCAUUGAAAUUUAUCUAUGGCUUUGUCAUCAUAUUCUAAAAUGUCAUGAGUACUUUUUUCUGACCUCAAUUACUAUGAAAUUGGUUUCCAAUAUUUAAUUAACCAAGAAUAUCAAGUCUAUAGGGUAUUAUUAAGGUGAGACUUCUGUAGCCUUUUCAAUAAAGACCAGAAUUUUGGAGUGCCUUGAACCUUAAUCAUUGAUCUUUAAUUCUUAUUAAGUCAACUGCCCACCUUUUAAAGACUGAGGCCCAGGAAGAGUAAGUUUCUCUGAGACAAUGCAUACAGUACAGUGCUUCUUGGGUAUUGGCUCUAAGACCAGAUGCAAAGAAAGGCUAAAAUCCCAUUUCAUUGUUCAUUAGGUGAGAACCCUUUGUUAAGCUGUGUAACCUCUGUGCAUAGUUUCCUCAUCAGCAAAGUCAGAAAAAGUAUGUACCUGAAGGACUGAUUGUAAGGCUGGGAUGAGAGAAUCCAUGUGAUCAGCCCUCACCAACAGGUGCUGCCCAGUUCAUGAGUGCUGCUGCUGUCCUGCCCAAGUACCCAGCUUGCAGAGUGCCAGAGUUAGAGUCCCAGGGGUGUUCUCCACAGCUGCAUGCUUGAUCCAGGCCUAUCAGAUAUAUUCCAUUGAAAGUCCUCAUUCUCAAAUUUAAAACAAAGACUUUUUGUGUACCUCAAUAGCAAUGCACACACAGUUGGCUUCACAAACAUAUUGUACAUUUCUUUUUUUCAUAUUUAUUCAACAAAUGUAUAUUGACUACCCACCGUGUGACAGGUGUUAUUUGUUGACGGAACCAGGCAUCAUCAGCAAACAAAACUGACAAAGCUUCCUGCCCUCUGUGGAAGGCAUCUGAGGAAGAGACUGGAUUUUGUAGCAACAUGUUAUUCUCAUUAUAAACUUUAUCAUUGGAAUACUAAAGCCAAAUCAUCCCCCAUCUCCUUGAUCAGGAUACCCACUUAAUCUAGGCAGCUACACAAUUGUGAGAGCCUUUGUUUUUUUCUGCUGAAACAUCCUUAAAAAGAUACCUCACAACCCAAGAUUUGGCUUUUCUUAAAUACGAUUUUUAAUUUUUUUCAUUUCUAUCUAGAGAUUUAAUUGGAAAUGGAAAAUCAUCAAUUUUCCAAUUAAAUGUCUGUUCCAAUCAACAUUAUACCUUUUAGGUUGUCAUUGUCAUUUUUAAGUUUAAGCAACUUUAAGGAUUUUGAAUCUGGCUGCCUGUAAAUUAAAGGUGAAAGUAAUCA
rnacentral:lncRNA from 1 species